UACGUAGGGCGCAAGCGUUAUCCGGAAUUAUUGGGCGUAAAGAGCUCGUAGGCGGUUUGUCGCGUCGGGAGUGAAAACCAUGGGCUUAACUCAUGGCUUGCUUCCGAUACGGGCAGACUAGAGGUAUGCAGGGGAGAACGGAAUUCCUGGUGUAGCGGUGAAAUGCGCAGAUAUCAGGAGGAACACCGAUGGCGAAGGCAGGUCUCUGGGCAUUAACUGACGCUGAGGAGCGAAAGCAUGGGGAGCGAACAGG
rnacentral:rRNA from 1 species